UACGUAGGGAGCUAGCGUUGUCCGGAAUCAUUGGGCGUAAAGCGCGCGUAGGCGGCCCGGUAAGUCCGCUGUGAAAGUCAAAGGCUCAACCUUUGAAUGUCAGCGGAUACUGCCGGGCUAGAGUCCGGAAGAGGCGAGUGGAACUCCUGGUGUAGCGGUGGAAUGCGCAGAUAUCAGGAAGAACACCAACGGCGAAGGCGGGUCUCUGGACAGUUCCUGACGCUGAGGCACGAAGGCCAGGGGAGCAAACGGG
rnacentral:rRNA from 1 species